rnacentral:rRNA from 1 species
GACGAACGCUGGCGGCGUGCUUAACACAUGCAAGUCGAACGGAAAGGCCCUGCUUUUGUGGGGUGCUCGAGUGGCGAACGGGUGAGUAACACGUGAGUAACCUGCCCUUGACUUUGGGAUAACUUCAGGAAACUGGGGCUAAUACCGGAUAGGAGCUCCUGCUGCAUGGUGGGGGUUGGAAAGUUUCGGCGGUUGGGGAUGGACUCGCGGCUUAUCAGCUUGUUGGUGGGGUAGUGGCUUACCAAGGCUUUGACGGGUAGCCGGCCUGAGAGGGUGACCGGCCACAUUGGGACUGAGAUACGGCCCAGACUCCUACGGGAGGCAGCAGUGGGGAAUAUUGCACAAUGGGCGGAAGCCUGAUGCAGCAACGCCGCGUGCGGGAGGACGGCCUUCGGGUGGUAAACCGCUUUCGCCUGUGACGAAGCGUGAGUGACGGGAAUGGGUAAAGAAGCACCGGCUAACUACGU